GGGAAAUGGACAACUCCAACCAUUCCAAACCAGUUCAAGGGGCCAUGGAAACAAAAGAAUAUCAAGAACCUGAACAACAAGGGCAAAGUGGAAGGCACCUCUGGUCGACAACCCAGAUGCUCAAGUGUGAAAUGUGAAGCAAGUGUGAAGCCGUGAAGUGUGAAGCCGUCAAGUUCUACUUAGUAAAGAGUAGCAUAUUGUAG